rnacentral:misc_RNA from 1 species
UCCGAGUUGUCCCCGGCAGUCCUCUUAGAGUCCCCGCCAUUACGCGCUGGCAACAUGGAACGAGGGUUGCGCUCGUUGCGGGACUUAACCCAACAUCUCACGACACGAGCUGACGACAACCAUGCACCACCUGUGAACCGGCCCCAAAGGGGAAACCACAUUUCUGCGGCGAUCCGGCCCAUGUCAAGCCUUGGUAAGGUUCUUCGCGUUGCAUCGAAUUAAGCCACAUGCUCCGCCGCUUGUGCGGGCCCCCGUCAAUUCCUUUGAGUUUUAGUCUUGCGACCGUACUCCCCAGGCGGAGUGCUUAAUGCGUUAGCUGCGGCACAGAGCGGGUUGAAGACCGCCCCACACCUAGCACUCAACGUUUACGGCAUGGACUAC